CUCCCCUCCGACAUUAGACUGCUGGCGCAUGCGCAGUGUAGGCGUGAAUUGAUGGUUUGCUUAUUAGAUAUAAAAUAAUUAAUAAUUGGGAAUUUAAUUGUUUUUAUGAUCGAACAAUCACCAAUAGUCGUCGAACAAACGAUAGUUGAUCAAAAUUAAAUAAUCUGAGCGAUAAAAAUAAAGAUAUCUAAUAACGGGGGCCAAAUUAAGGGUUAUUAUUUGUUUAAUUAAUUAUAAAUAAAUAAAAGACGAACAAACAAUUUUUACAUUCGAACAUUAACGAACAAACGACGAACAAACAAUUAAAAAUAAAAAAAAUCCGAAAAUCGAAAAAAGUGGGGCCAAAUUCAGUGAGUCGGCACGGUGUAUACCGGAACACACCCUUGAAUAAAGUUAGCAAACUAUACCUUACUAGACUUUCAUAUUUUAAGAAUUAACUAAUAUAUAGUUCAUGUAAACUUUUCUGCCUUGGCUACCAACGAGUUUCUGCUAAUCAUCCGAAAAACUUUGAAUUUAUUACCAUUUAAGUGAAUAUUUAAUUCCUAAAACAAUUAAAUUACAUUAAAAAUAAUCAUGUUUGGUCCAGGUGGUGCGCCUCUACUAGUUUUGAGUCAAAAUACAAAACGUGAUUCUGGCAAAAAAGUGCA